UUUCCCUCGGGAUAGCUGGAGCCCGCGGGCGAGUUCUAUCGGGUAAAGUCAAUAUUAGAGGCAUCGGGGGCGCAAUGCCCUCGACCUAUUCUCAAACUUUAAAUAGGUAGGACGGCGCAACUACUCCAUUGAGCCGUGCCACGGAAUCGAGAGCUCCA
rnacentral:ncRNA from 1 species